rnacentral:rRNA from 1 species
AGUGAACGCUGGCGGUAGGCCUAACACAUGCAAGUCGAACGGCAGCACAGUAAGAGCUUGCUCUUACGGGUGGCGAGUGGCGGACGGGUGAGGAAUACAUCGGAAUCUACUUUUUCGUGGGGGAUAACGUAGGGAAACUUACGCUAAUACCGCAUACGACCUACGGGUGAAAGCAGGGGAUCUUCGGACCUUGCGCGAUUGAAUGAGCCGAUGUCGGAUUAGCUAGUUGGCGGGGUAAAGGCCCACCAAGGCGACGAUCCGUAGCUGGUCUGAGAGGAUGAUCAGACACACUGGAACUGAGACACGGUCCAGACUCCUACGGGAGGCAGCAGUGGGGAAUAUUGGACAAUGGGCGCAAGCCUGAUCCAGCCAUACCGCGUGGGUGAAGAAGGCCUUCGGGUUGUAAAGCCCUUUUGUUGGGAAAGAAAAGAAGCAGGUUAAUACCCCGCUGUUCUGACGGUACCCAAAGAAUAAGCACCGGCUAACUUCGUG